rnacentral:misc_RNA from 1 species
GAUGAAGAACGCAGCGAAAUGCGAUAAGUAGUGUGAAUUGCAGAAUUCAGUGAAUCAUCGAAUCUUUGAACGCACAUUGCGCCCCCUGGUAUUCCGGGGGGCAUGCCUGUUCGAGCGUCAUUUCACCACUCAAGCCUCGCUUGGUAUUGGGCAUCGCGGUCCGCCGCGCGCCUCAAAUCGACCGGCUGGGUCUUCUGUCCCCUAAGCGUUGUGGAAACUAUUCGCUAAAGGGUGUUCGGAAGGCUACGCCGUAAAACAACCCCAUUUCUAAGGUUGACCUCGGAUCAGGUAGGGAUACCCGCUGAACUUAAGCAUAUCAAUAGCGGAGGA